rnacentral:rRNA from 1 species
UACAGAGGUCCCAAGCGUUGUUCGGAUUCAUUGGGCGUAAAGGGUGCGUAGGCGGCGCGGUAAGUCGGGUGUGAAAUUUCGGAGCUUAACUCCGAAACUGCAUUCGAUACUGCGGUGCUUGAGGACUGGAGAGGAGACUGGAAUUCAUGGUGUAGCAGUGAAAUGCGUAGAGAUCAUGAGGAAGACCAGUGGCGAAGGCGGGUC